GGCCAUGCCCAUGGCAUGUGGAAGUUUCUGGGCCAGGGAUCAAACCUGCUCCACAGCAGUGAACCAAGCUGCUACAGUGAAAAUGCUGGAUCCUUAACCCACCAAUUAAUAUUGCUAAAAUGUCCAUACUAUCCAAAGCCAUCUAUAUAGAGUCAAUGUAAACCCUAUCAAAAUUAAAAUGGCAUUUUUCAUAGAAAUAGAAAAAAAAGCCCUAAAAUGCAUAUGGAACCACAAGAAACCCUGAAUAUCAAAGAAAUUUUGAGGAAGAACAAGCUGGAGGCACCACAAUUUUUUACUUCAAAUUAUAUUACAAAGAUAAUAUAAUAAAAACAUUAUGGUACUAGCAUAAAAACAGACACACAGACCAACAAAACAAAAUCAACAGCCCAGAAUUAAACCCACAAUAUAUGGUCAACAAAUGUUUGACAAGGAAACCAAGACUACUCAAUGGGGAAAUGAUAGUCUUUUCAGUAAAUGGUGUUGGAGAAACUGUGUAUCUGCAUGCAAAAGAAUGAAACUGGACCUCUAAAUCACACUAUUUACAAAAAAACCAGGUGGAAAUGGAUUAAAGAUUUAAACAUAAGAUCUGAAACCAUAAAACUCCUGGGAAAAAAACAGAGAAAAAGCUCUGUGACAUCAGUCUUGGCAAUAAUAUUUUGGACAUGACGCUAAAAGCAGAAAGAAACAAAAAAGCAAAAACCAACAAGUGGUACUACAUCAACCUAAAUGAUUAUACACAGCAAAAGAAACAAUCAACAAAAUGAAAAGGCAACCUAAGGAAUGAGAGAAAAUAUCUGCAAACCGUAUAUCUGAUGGCACAAUCUCCCAUGAUCACUGCAAUACUAUUUACCAUAGGGAAGACAUGGAAACAACUUAAGUAUCUAUCAAUGGAUGGUUGGAUUUUCAAAAUGUAUUUUACAAAUAUACAAUGGGCCGUUACUCAGCCAUAAAAAAGGAGGAAAUUUUGUCACUGAGACAACAUGGGUGGACCAUAAGGACAUUAUGUUAAGUGAAAUGUCAUACAGAAAAAGACAAAUAGUAUAUAAUCUCACUUAUAUGUAUAGUCUAAAAACAAUCAGACCCAUAGAAACAGUAUAAUAAUAGUCGCCAGUAGCUAAAGCGUGGGGGAUAUGGGGAGAUGCUGGUCAAAAGGUACAAACUUUAAGAUAUAAGAUGAGUAAGUUCAUGAAAUCUAAUGUGCAGCAUGAUGACUAAGGUUAAUAAUACUAUAUUUCAUACUUGAAACUUGCUAUGAGAGUAGGGCUUUAAUGAUCUCAUAAACAACAAACACAAAAUGGUAAUUAUGUGAGGUAGAGGAUGUGUUAACUAAUCUUAUUGUGGUAAAACAUUCUUCAAUAUACAUGUGUAUCAAAUAAUCACACUAUACACUUUAAACUUAUACAAUGUUAAGUAUAAGUUACAUCUCAAUAAAGCUGGGGGAAAAAGAGAUGAAGAGAUCAAAUAACAACAUGUAUUGCAGGCCGCCCGAUAACCACCUUCAACUUUCAAUAGAUCAGAAUAUCCUGAAGGGUGAGGCUACGUAUUUCAGUACCUUUCUUUUAAUAUCUUCCCAUACAUGAUAUAAAACUAUGAUGAUGAUAAAGAUUAAAAGAUUUUUGAGUGUUUCUUAUGUGUCAGGCAUUGUUCUAAAGGCUUUAUACAUAUUAAGUCACUCAAUCCUCACAGCAAUCUUGAGAGAUUGGUGCUGUAAUUAUGCCCAUUUCCCAGAUGAAGAAACUGAGGCAGAGAGCAACUAAGCAUUUUGUCCAAGGUCACAAAGCCAGUUAGUGAUAUAAUUGGGAUCCAAAAUCUGGCCAUCUGAUUCUAGCAGUCAGGUUCUUUACAAGCAUGCUAGAUAUAGGUGACUCUAUAGCCUAUAUCCUGGUGGGACCUGGGACUGUCCCCGUGGUAAAUUAUAUAGUCACCCUAGCUAAACAACACUGUAAAAUCCCAUAACAUUGGCAGUGAAGGGGGGCCACUUGUGAAUGGGGCAUCUUAGUGAUUAAAAUGGAGAGAAAUCGGCAUAUGAUCCAAGUGGUUUCUAUAUUACCAGGAAAAAGAACAGUUCAGCUGGAUUCUUAUGUAGAAUUCUACUGCCCUGGAGGAUAGAGGGGAAUAGGGGAGAAAGAUUCUAAUAGUAAUUCAAAGAAAGAUUUAGUGCACAGGUGCUUCUUACUCCCUUUGUUACACACAAAAGUAGUAUGAGUUCUUCACUGAUAACAAAGAAAAUGUCUUUCUCCAUCAGGCAUUUAAGAAGUACCAGAAGUUGUCAAGGCAGACAUGCCAGCUCGCCGGAUGGUGCCACGAACUGGAGAACACCAUCUGUUUUGUUAAGGUUGACAGUCUGAAAUUUCUGGUUAAACUCCAGAUCUCCUUGUUAUGAAGGGCUUGAUAACUUUUAGUCCAUUACCUUCUGCUUACUGAGUCACAGAGCAUAUUACAUCUCCCUCCAGAGCACUCCAACAGCUGGGCCACGUUACAAGCCAUCUUUGUCUUAGUCGGUAUUAGAUAAUGGAUUUGAUGGGACCUUCCAUUUGAAUCAGGGAAAGUCAAUUACAGAAUUUGCUGUUGUUUGAAAUAAGUGGCCAGCUCAGACAUUCUGGCUCAAGAACACAAAUCUGUUACUGUUUUUUGCCACUGGGGUUGUUCUGAUGAGGACUUGCUUUGCAAGCACAUUGGACACAUAACAACAAAGCAUUUACUUCACUUUUUAAUUGCUCUUGGAAAUAUUUUAAAUGGCACCAAUGCAAUUUUUACUAGAAAAUGAAAGUGUUCACUUCCCAGAGCAACUUAACUCUUCAAAGGAGGGCAGAAAGGAGCACUUUCUGAAACGUGUUGAAAACUGAGAGCCUGUAUUCAGAAUCUAACAAGGCUGUUUGAAAGUCAAGUGGGGACAGGCUGAGUCAGCAAUACCAACUAAAAGUCGCAUUCCGGCUUUAAUCCAAUUCAACAAAUGCAUUUUCUGCUGUGUCUGAGAGAGCCUUAAGAAGAAUUUCUGAAACAACAAGCUGAAAAUGGUUCUCGAUGAAAGCUACUUUUUGAAGGCACCAUGAAAUUAUUAAUUAUGCUGAAGAGAGUCUUAAAUACUUAAGCCUCUUGUGGAUUUCAUGCUAGAGAAGAGGGGCAAGUUUAGGCUGUGGUCUAUGAGCAGCCAUGCUUCUGCCCUGCAUUCGGUCUCUAGGUGUGUCUGGGCGUUCAAAUGGGGACAAGUGAAUGAGAAUGAAAAGAAGCUUUGGGUAAAAUACACUGAAUUCUAGUUUUUUCCAGUUACAAGGUCAAGUUGUCCUAGUCACUUAAAAACAUGAGAGCUUCAGCUCUUUCCUAAAUAAUUGUAUCCAUUCUCUUUAGAGAGACAGGCAGCAUGACACAGUAUAUAGAGCACUGACUUUAGAUCCAGGCAGCUCUGGGAUCAAACCCCACACUUGCUGUGGGACCUUUGCCAAAUUAUCCCCUCUGUUCUUUAAGUUUUUUAUUUCUAAAUGGGAAUAAUAAGCCCUAUCUUUCUGACUUUUAAAUUAAACAAUGAAACUUCAGAGGAAGCUACACCAAGUAUAAUGUUAGCACACUGGAGGCAUUCCAUAAGUGAAAUGACUUUUAUUAUCAUGACUUUUAUGCCACUUCAAAGGUGUGUUGAAGAGAUCACAAAGGCCUUUCAUAUAUUCUCUAUGGAAACUGUUAUUUGAAUACUUAAAAAGUGAAACUAAUAUUGGCUUUCUAAGACUAGAAGAUAAAUGCAGACGAGAACAAACUGUUAAGUUUAGGUACUUAAAAGAGAAUGUGAUAUCUUAGUAAUUUUCUUGUCCAAAAAGUAAUAAAUAUUAGGGUUCUUCAAACCUGCACAAAAGGCCUUAUUUUAGCAAUGCUUUAUAAACUUCUUGGACAAAGAUCCAGUAAGGUUAAUAUAUUAUUUAGUUUGCCCGCUAGCCAGACUGUCUCAUGUAGCUAUAAGGCAAAGGACUAUGCAAAAAAAAAAAAAAAAGAGAGAGAGAGAGAGAAACAUCCACUCAAUUCAGUAUUCCUACUAACCACAAGGAGUAAAAUUAAAAUGGUAUCAUAAAACCUAAUCACCACCUGCUGGUUUAACUAUUUCUCAAGCUGAUUAUAUUUUUGGUUCAUUUAAAAGCCUUUAGAACUUAAGUUUCAGCUUCCAUAUACAUUGCCUUUCCAUGGAAAAAUCAUAGAAUCUCAGCUUUUAAAGCAGUAGAUAGUUUUAGAGAUCAUUUAUACCAAUGGGAAUGUGAAGGUCCAAUAUAAAAUGUACAGAAGCUGCCAUCAUUCCCAGAAUCCGAGCUAUAGAAUCAGAAGUAGCAGGAGUUAUACCUUGACUUAAAGAAUGUAGCGAGGCAGAAAUGAAUGAACACAGUGGAUAUGAAGAGGUAAGUAACUACUUGAACUUCAGACUCCAGUUAUUAGUUCCUGGCAUUUCCCAUGGUUCUUGGCUCUCAUCGUCCUUUAUCUACUCGAGAUAACAUGCAUAGUGUGGCCACUUAUUAGCCACUAGAUAAUACGGCCACAAAAAAAAAUCUAAGCUUCAUAUCCUGCCCAUUUUUAGCAUUUAUGAUCUAAUUUUAAAUAAUUAUAAUACCAAAUAAGUGCUAUAUACAAAGUGUUAGAGGAACACAGAUAAACACGAAAUUUCCUGGAAGAGCCUGAGAAAUUUAGAGUAAUGUGACAUUUGAUUGAAUUUUGGAUGAAUAGCCAGAUUUCAAAGGCUUGACAGAAGGAGAAAGAUUACUAGGAGCAGAAAAAAGGCACGAGGAAAGCCAUGGAGCAGUGAAAGAGCUCGGAGGUUUGAAGAACAGUGAGAGUGAAGGGUGAGAAUGGCAUAAAAUGGCAUUAGUUACAUAAAUUGGGGCCAGUUCCUUAAAAAAGAGUUGUCUGACACCCCCACCUCAAUUAAAAUUACAUCUCAUGUAAUAAUUUCUGAAACCACUCUGUACUUUUCCUUUAAGCACUUAAAAUACCUGCUUUGUCUACCACACACCCACUGGCACAGUGUCUGGCACACAGUAGAGGUUCAAUAAAUACUUUUUGAAUGUUCAGGUUGUCGAAAAAUACACAUGCCAGAUGUAAAUAGAAAAAUCUGGAGUGCCUAUGGUGGCUCAGCAGUUAAUGAACCCAACUAGCAUCCAUGAGGAUGCAGGUUCAAUCCCUGGCCUCGAUCAGUGGGUUAAGUGUCUGGUGUUGUUGUGAGCUGUGGUGUAGGUCAAAGAAAAGACUUGGAUCCAACAUUGCUGUGGCUGUGACUGUGGCUGUGGCAUAGGCCAGUGGCUACAGCUCCAAUUCAAUCCCUAGCCUGGGAACCUCCAUAUGCCAUGGUGUGGCCCUAAAAAGACAAAAACAAGCAAGCAAGCAAGAUAGAUUUCAGUUUUUCCCUUCCUGUGUAGGGAAAAACCCAGUUCUUCUCUACUCUGUCUCUCUCCUCUCAGCCUCCUUUACUACAGUCAUUACACUUCACUUCUAACACUUCUGGUCACCAAAUGUGCAGGGGGUUGUCCCCAUAACAACAAGCAAGUCUCAGACACCAGCUAGGUGUUCUACAAUUCAAGUCAACUCUGACACUAUGGUCCCAGAGCAAGCAUCAGGUCCCAUGAAACUACUCCCCACCCCUGCUUCCGAGGCCAAUCUCAAGCUCUAUGCUCUGACCAACUAGCUAUAGAUGAGAGGCUCCCAAGCCUUCUCCUCAGGUUUGAUUAAUUUGCUAGAGCAGCUCACAGAACUCAGGGAAACACUUACACAUACCAGUUUAUUAAAGAACAUGAUAAAGGUAGAGAUGAACAGCUGGAUGAAGAGAUAUAUAGGGUAAGGUUUGGGAGGAUGCCAAGCACAAGAGCUUCUCCAUAAGAGUCUCUGUGGAGUUGGGGUGCAUUACCCUUCUGGAGUGGAUGUGUUCCCCAACCUAGAAGCUCUUCAAACCCUCUACUAUUAAGAUUUUACAGACUUCUUCAUGUAGGUAUAAUCAACUAUUAAUUUCAUUUCCAGCCCCUUUCCUAUCUCUGGAGGAUAGGGAGGGCAGGGCUGAAAAUUCCAAGCUUCUAAUCACAGCUUGGUCUUUCUGCUCCCAUCCAGUAGUCCAUCCAGAGUUGCCUCAUUAGAACAAAAUAUGUUCUUACUGAUUACUUAGGAAAUUACAAGGGUUUUAGGAGCUCUAAGCCAGGAGCUGGGAACUAGAGACCAACAUAUUGUCUCACUCCAGGCCAAGAAUUUGGGACUUCUCCUAAAGGUAAUGGGAAUCACUGCAGAGUUUUAAGUAUAGAAAUGACUGAGUAUAUAUAAGACUGAGUAGUUGGGGUUUGAAGAGGGUUACCCUGGAAGCAGUGUGGAAAAUGAACUGAAGGAGAAGCUGGGAGACCAGUAUGACAGAGCUAUUGCAAUGAUCCAGGCAAGAGUAGAUGAAAGGCUGAAAACACAGACCAGCAGAUACCACAGAACUUGUUUGGAGAGACAGACUUCUCAGGACUUUUGGUCAACUAAAUCUGGGCUUUGAAGGAAGGAGGCAGGGAUCUCAGGAUAACUUUGAGAUUUUUAGGUUGGACACUGAGAUUGUGUUGCCAUUCUCAGAUAUGGGAAAUACACAAUAUGAAUCACAGACCUAGAGAGAAGCCUACCUGGGGCAGAUGGAGCUGUCCAGGAAGCAGCAGUAGACAGAUAUCUCAGGUGGAAGUGAGGUCUGCAUUUGGGGAGUUGGUGUGUGGUGGUGAAAGCCAUGGGCACAGAUAGGUUGAAGAAAGGCACACCAUU
rnacentral:lncRNA from 1 species